rnacentral:tRNA from 1 species
GAGAGAGGCUAGCAAGCAACGAAGACUGCUAAUCUCCGUAACCUAGGUUGAAUUCCAAGGCUCACUCG